CUCACCAGGUCAGGACACGGUAAGGAUUGACGGACUGAAGGCUUCUUUCUCGAUUCCGUGGAAAGUGGUGCAUGGUCCGUUUUUGGUUGGUGGAUCGAUCCGUCUGGUUAAUUCCGUUAACGAACGAGACCUCGGCACUCCGAAUAGCGCGGCGGACGUCGCGGCCUCCGGGCCGUCUUCCGCACGAGCUUCUUAGAGGGACCGUCCCCCGCCGGGGAAGGAGGUGCGAGGCAACGACAGGUCUGUGAUGCCCUUAGAUGUUCUGGGCCGCACGCGCAUUACACUGACGCGUCCAACGGGUGACUCCCGACCCGAAGGGGCCGGGGAAUCCGCAAGGCGCGUCGUGAUGGGGAUUGAACGUUGCAAUUGUUGUUCACGAACGAGGAAUUCCUAGUAGGCGCGGGUCAUCAACCCGCGCCGAUUACGUCCCUGCCC
rnacentral:rRNA from 1 species